AACGAACGCUGGCGGCAGGCCUAACACAUGCAAGUCGAGCGGACCCUUCGGGGUUAGCGGCGGACGGGUGAGUAACGCGUGGGAAUAUGCCCUUCUCUACGGAAUAGUCCUGGGAAACUGGGGGUAAUACCGUAUACGCCCUUUGGGGGAAAGAUUUAUCGGGGAAGGAUUAGCCCGCGUUGGAUUAGGUAGUUGGUGGGGUAAUGGCCUACCAAGCCGACGAUCCAUAGCUGGUUUGAGAGGAUGAUCAGCCACACUGGGACUGAGACACGGCCCAGACUCCUACGGGAGGCAGCAGUGGGGAAUCUUAGACAAUUGGGGCAACCCUGAUCUAGCCAUGCCGCGUGAGUGAUGAAGGCCUUAGGGUUGUAAAGCUCUUUCAGCUGGGAAGAUAAUGACGGUACCAGCAGAAGAAGCCCCGGCUAACUCCGUG
rnacentral:rRNA from 1 species